UUGUUGCGCACGCGUGCUCGGCCUCAAGCCGCCAUUUUCAGUUUACCGCAACCGAUGGAUGUUGUGUUUUGGAAAAUCAUUGACGGUGUUGAUACAUAUGCAAUGAGUGAUGUUCCGAUGCCAAGGAACUUCAUUGGGAAUAUUUUUUCUGAAAAUCUUCAAUUCCAGCAUUCUUAAAUGACGGAACACAACUGUUGCUGUCCGAAAUCAGCCUAUCAGCGGCCUAAAGAACGCCGUCAAGAGUGAAUCCUUGAAAAUAUGGAGAAAGCUCGUCGGAUCGAGUGAAACCAAAAGGAAUCGAGUGCGAAAAAAAGCGACCACCCAGCGCUCCACGCUAAAGAAUCGUUAUCGAUUCCUCCAAACUACAGGUCAACCCAAUGCGUUGGCAGCAUCUACGUCUUGCUUGCUCAGCGAUGGAUCAAAGAACGUAUUCCGGUAGCAGUUCGGUGUACCUGUUUCCUCAAGCUGUAACAAAUUUCCAACCGGAAGAAUCAACAAUAAAAGGGGAUGUUGCGCUGGAAGCUACAUCAUCCUCAUCUACAAAACUUCCGCCACAGCAACGUUUCGUCAACAGACAGCGUGGACCUCAACCUGGUAAAUAUAAACCAUUGGAUGAAGGCUACGAUUCCAUCGCACAUGGCAAAAAACGAACCAUUCCUGGCUGGUCCACCGAAGGCACACGGGUGACCAUGAUUUCGCUCUACAUGGGAUGUAGCGGAGACACCAGCUGCUCCGCUGUUUUGGAACGGCACGAAAAACAUGAAC